CCUACGGGUGGCAGCAGUGAGGAAUAUUGGUCAAUGGACGAGAGUCUGAACCAGCCAAGUAGCGUGAAGGAUGACUGCCCUCUGGGUUGUAAACUUCUUUUAUAUGGGAAUAAAAUGUUCCACGUGUGGGCUUUUGUAUGUACCAUAUGAAUAAGGAUCGGCUAACGCCGUGCCAGCAGCCGCGGUAAUACGGAGGAUCCGAGCGUUAUCCGGAUUUAUUGGGUUUAACGGGAGCGUAGGUGGAUUGUUAAGUCAGUUGUGAAAGUUUGCGGCUCAACCGUACAAUUGCAGUUGAAACUGGCAGGCUUGAGUACAGUAGAGGGGGGUGGAAUUCGUGGUGUAGCGGUGAAAUGCGUAGAGAGCACGAAGAACUCCGAUUGCGAAGGCAGCGCACUGGACUGCAACUGACACUGAGGCUCGAAAGUGUGGGGAUCAAACAGGAUUAGAUACCCUUGUAGUC
rnacentral:rRNA from 1 species